AAUAUCGUUUCUUCAUUUCUUUCUUUAAGGUUAAAAAGAAACAUAGAAAGUGGCCAGCAGCUAAACAACUACAAGGUGGCGUUGCAGCGUACAACUUUGGAGUAAAGAAUGUUAAGUCUUGGGCAGGCCUUGACAGUGGCUCCACCGGUAAUGACUACAGCAAUGACGUCGUAGCAAGAGCCAAAUGGCUCCACUUGAAAAAGUGGAAUUGAAAAGAAUGUCUACAAUGAAAAAGUGAAAUUCAACAUUAUAUGAUUAGAUAUUUUAUAAAUUAUUAUUUCUAAUUUCUUUGUCAACAUUAGAUUUGGCAAAAUAUGUAGAUCAUUGCAGGGUCUGUUGUAGCCAAGUGGCAAAAUUUGUAGAUCAUUGUAGGGUCUGUGUAGAAAGUGGCAAAAUAUGUAGAUCAUUGUAGGGUCUGUGUAGCCAAGUUAAACACUGCACUCUUCCUUUAUCCUGAGACUUGAAGACAAGCUUUUAUUAUUAUUCGUUAUCAAUCCUUGAAAAACAUUCUUAUUAAAUAUUGAUAAAAAUGUAUUAUUACGAUUAUAAUUAUGUACACUAAAUAAAACGUUUUUUUUACAU
rnacentral:sRNA from 1 species